GUUCAAAUGAGAAAAGGCUUACAGUGGAUACCUAGGCACCCAGAGACGAGAAACAGCGUAGUAAGCGACAAAAUGCUCUAAGGAGUUGAAAAUAAGCAUAGAUUCGGAGAUUCCCAAAUAGGUCAACCUUUCGAAUUACUGUUGAAUCCAUGGGCAAGCAAGAGGCAACUUGGCGAACUAAAACAUCUUAGUAGCCAAAGAAAAAGAAAGCAAAAGUGAUUCCCGUAGUAGCAGCAAGUGAAAUGGGAGCAGCCUAAACCGUGAAAACCAGGUUGUGGGAGAGCAAUACAAACGUCAUGCUACUAGGCGAAGCAACGAAAUAUUGCACCCUAGAUGGCGAGAGUCUAGUAUCCAAAAGCAUCACUAGCUUAUGCUCUAACCUGAGUAGCAUGGGGCAUAUGGAAUCCCAUGUGAAUCAGCAAGAACCACCUUGAAAGGCUAAAUACUCUUAGGUGACCGAUAGCGAACUAGUACCGUGAGAGAAGGAUGAAAAGAACCCCCAUUGGGGAGUGAAAUAGAACAUGAAACCGUAAGUUCACAAGCAAUGGAAGGAAAUUGAGGCUUUAACCAUGUGCCUAUUGAAGAAUGAGUCGACGAUUUAUAGGCAGUGGCUUAGGUUAGGGAACCCACUAGAGUCUUAGCAAAAGAGAGUCUUCAUAAGGCAAUUGUCACUACUUAUGGACCUGAACCUGGGUGAUCUAUCCAUGACCAGGAUGAAGCUUGGGUGAAACUAAGUGGAGGUACAAACCGAAUGAUCUUGAAGAAUCAUCGGAUAAGUUGUGGUUAGGGGUGAAAUGCCACUUGAACCCAAAACUAGCUGGUUAUCCCUAAAAUGGGUUGAGGCGCAGCGGUUGGCUGGACAUUUAGGGGUAAAGCACUAGUUCUGUGCAGGCGACGAGAGCGAUACCAAAUCGAGGCAAACUUUGAAUACUAGAUUCGGCCUCAGAAUGUCAAGGUCAACCAAUGAGACGAUGGAGGAUAAGCUUCAUCGUCGAUAGGAAAACAACCCGGAUCACCAACUAAGGCCUCUAAAUGACCGCUCAGUGAUAAAGGAGGUAGGGGUGCAUAGACAGCCAGGAGGUUUACCUAGAAGCAUUCACCCUUGAAAGAGUGCGUAAUAGCUCACUGAUUGAGCACUCUUACACCGAAGAUGGACGAGGUUAAGCAAUUUGCCGAAGCUGUGGGAUAUAAAAAGUAAAAAUGUAUUGGUAAGGGAGCGUUCUUCCUCAAAGGGAAACACUCAUACGAGCAAGUGUGUGGACGAAGUGGAGGCGAGAAAGUUGGCUUGAGUAAUACAAACAUUGGUGAGAAUCCAAUGCCUCGAAAACUUAAGGAUUCCUCCACAAAGUUCAUCCACGGAGGGUGAGUCAGGGCCUAAGAUUAGGCCGAAAGGCAUAGUCGAUGGGCAACAAGUUAAUAUUCCUAUACUAUCCUUUAUUGCUCUUGAGAGACGGAGAAGGCUAGGUGAUGCGACUCAUGGUAGCUUAGCUUUAAAGGCAUAUCAACAAAAUUUAUACCUUAAAUACUAUUACUAAAGUAGCCAAACUACUAUAGCAUAGUUGGUUCUAAGAUCGUUCACUGGGAAGGGUUUUCGCAAACACAAGUGAUAUUCAAAUUAGGAAAAUAGGUGAUUUUCUUAUGGAUGUUAGCUUUAAAAGAAGAUGUAAAUGUUUUAGAAAGAUUUAAACUAAUCUAAGCUAACAUUAAAGACUAAAAUGAAAGGGUGUAAAAACAAGUUUCUCAAAGAUAGGAUAGCUAUGCUCUGGCUCUUAUGCAAAUUGGAAAUCUCAGGAUAGGCUCCUCGCGUUGGGGUUGCAACUAUGGUGAUGCUUGCUUCCCGAACCGGUAUGGAUUUAGAAAAUCAAGUUUUAAUCCUUUAAAAUGGCAAAACAGAUGGUGGUGAAUUUCAUCAAUGGUUAUUCACCUUAGACUUCCUUUGAAUGGCUCGUAAGAGAUAACUAAUGGUCUAAAGCCAAAAGUUUACCAAAUAUUGGCAACUCAAAGUCAUUCCAAGUGAUAAACUCACCUUUCAAUGGCCAUUGAAAUUGGUUCUAACGGAUUAAUGCAAAACUUGGAAUUGAAAACCUCACCUUCCAAUAGCUCGUAGGAGAUAACUAAUGGAUAGAAAUCCAAAAGCUUAUCAAGUAUUGGCCGUUGGAAGUUGUCCAAAGGAAAUAAAAACCAAACUUUGCAUUAAUGAACCAUUAAUGAAAAACGACUACCUUACCUUUCGGGUGCAAGAAAUUUCCAUGGGAUUGCAUCCAAGCCAUCACAUAACAUCCAUACUUUGAGAAACUAAAAGUUUUAGCCAAUCAUCCUCUGAGGAAAAGCCCUCAGAGGCUGUUUGGCUUCCAAGAAAAUAAAAUAGUAAAGAGAAAAGAGAAACGAGAGAGCUCUGUAUAUAUUCUAAGUGUAAAACGUAAUAUAUCUUCUAUAUUCCAAGAGGUGAUUUCCACCCCUUAUAUAGUCUUUACAAAAGCAAAAGCUUGUGAUUGGUUAGUUACAAGGAUAAGAAAGGAAAUUACAUCACAAAAUACAAAGGAAAAUAUCUAAAGUGGAGUUGGCAAAAGCAGAGGAAAAUUCGCAACACGCAUGGGUUAUGCGAAUUUUGAAGGUGUUAUGCGAAUUUCGCAUAACACCUUGUGUUAUGCGAAAUUUUCGCAUAACCUGGAGCAGUUGGCUUCCGAAGGCCAUAUCUUCCUCAUUUCAACUCCAAAUCAUGUACGGUUUGAAGCGUUGGAUUCUUGACUUCCAGAGCUUUGAAAUGUUAUAUAGUAUGUAAAAAAUGGACUUCAGGAAGUGCUCCAAAAGUGUGAAAGAAGACUGAAGCUGCUGUCCUCUGUUUUCCUCUUCUCCAUUGUUCUUUCCUUGCAUACUUUGAACGACUUUGGCAAAGGGAUAUGGAGCUCCAAAGCUUGGUUCUUCAUGAAUUUGAGCUUCCAAAAGCUUUUCCAUAACUUGUCCAAGUAGCUCCUCCAUCAUUUGGCAUGCUUGAAUUGGUUCAUAAGCUGAUAAAAACAUGUAAACUUGCCACAAAAUGGUUAAAGCCAAUUACUAAGGACCUUAAUGAAUUAAUUGGGUUAAAUGAAUAUGAUUACUACUCAAAGGUGCUUAAAACCAUUAUAAUUAGGUCUACAAAAUAGCACUUUUUGGUAGUAAUCACUAGGUUAGCUAAAAGAUGGUUAUUGAUUUAAGGGCGCAAGGUGACCCUACUUUUUCAAGGUAAUAAUGGGUAGAGAAAAUGCCUCGAGCCAAUGUUCGAGUACCAGGCACUACGACGCCAAAGUAAUCCAUGCCAUACUCCUAGGAAAAGCUUCAACAAAAGGGUACCUGUACCUGAAAUCGACACAGGUGGGUAGGUAGAGAAUACCUAGGGAUGCGAGACAACUCUCUCUAAAGAACUCGACAAAUAGCCCCGUAACUUUAGGAGAAAGGGUGUCUUCUCACAAAAGGGGUUGCAGUGACCAGGCUCGAGCAAUUGUUUACUAAAAAUAAAGGUCUCAGAAAAAUCGUAAGACCAUGUAUGGAGGCUAACGCUUGCCUAAUGCCAGAAGGUCAAGGAAGUUGGCAACCUUAUGAUAAGAGAGCUGGUGAUCGUAACUAUAACGGUCCUAAAGUAGCAAAAUUCCUUGUCGGGUAAGUUCUGACCCGCACAAAAGGCAUAACGAUCUGAGCACUGUCUCAGAGAAAGGCUCGGUGAAAUAAAGAUGUUUGUGAAGAUGAGGACUACCUGCACCUGAAUAGAAAGACCCUAUGAAGCUUCACUGUUCCCUAGGAUUGGCUUUGGGUCUUUCCUGCGCAGUUUAGGUGGAGAGCAAAAAAGGCCUCCUUUUGCUAGGAGGGGGAGGAGCCGAUCCAUUAGUGAAAUACCACUCUGGAAAAGCUAGAAUUCUAACAUUAUGUCAGGACCUACGGGCCAAAUGACAGUCUUAGGUAGAUAGAUUCUAUGAGGCAUAAGCCUCUCAAAAGGUAACGGAAGCAUGCAAAGGUUUCCUCAAGUCGAACGAAUAUUGGCCAUCGAGUGCAAAGACAGAAGGGAGCUUGACUACAAGGCCCACCCGUCGAGCAGAGACGAAAGUCAGCUUUAGUGAUUCAACGGUGCCGAGUGGAAGAGCCAUUGCUCAACGGAUAAAAGUUACUCUAGGGAUAACAAACUGAUCUUCCCUAAGAGCUCACAUCGACGGGAAGGUUUGGCACCUCGAUGUCGGUUCUUCGCUAGUUGGGGUUGUAGUAUGUUCCAAGGGUUGGGUUGUUCAUCCAUUAAAGCGAUACAUGAACUAGGUUCAGAACAUCAUCAGACAGUUCGGUCCAUAUCCGGUGUGAGCGUUAAAGCAUUGAGAGGACAUUUCCCUAGUACGAGAGGACCGAGAAGAAUGCACCUCUGGUGUACCAGUUAUCAUGCCCACAAUAAAAGCUAGGUAGCCAAGUGUGGAACAGAUAACUAUUGAAAUCACCUAAGUAGUAAGCCCGCCCUAAGAUGAAUGUUUUCUUAUUCUGACUUCCUUAAAGCCACCGGUAACACAGUCGAGACAGCGAUGGGUUCUCUGCCCCAAUGGGGAUGGAGCGACAAGUUUUGAGAAUUCAAGAGAAGGUCACGGCGAGACAAGUCAUUUAUCAUUAUGAUAGGUGUCCAGUGGAAAUGCAGUGAUGUAUGCAGUUGAGGCAUCCUAAUAGACCGGUAGACUUGAACCU
rfam:Vitis vinifera, whole genome shotgun sequence of line PN40024, unoriented chromosome 11, chr11